rnacentral:lncRNA from 1 species
AGUCCUACGUAGAAGACCAAGCAUUUGUUGGCUCGACAUACAACGGCUAGAACUUGCUGGUCCCAAGUAAGGUGGCUUGUUAUUAGAACGCCGAGAUCUUUUUCUUUUCGGACAUUAACUAAUGUUUCAUCUUCAAGAUGAUACUCAAAACCAACUGGACUUAAUUUUCUACUCACUGACAGAACUUUUCAUUUGGAUGCGUUAAAGGUCAUAUUGUUUUCAUGGCUCCAGGUGUUGAGAUUGUUGAGAGAUUGUUGAAGAGUUUCACAGCUUUG